rnacentral:rRNA from 1 species
UACGGAGGGGGCUAGCGUUGUUCGGAAUUACUGGGCGUAAAGCGCGCGCAGGCGGUCCUUCAAGUCAGGGGUGAAAGCCCAGAGCUCAACUCUGGAAUUGCCUUUGAAACUGACGGACUAGGGUACGGGAGAGGUGAGUGGAAUUCCGAGUGCAGAGGUGAAAUGCGUAGAUAUUCGGAAGAACACCAGUGGCGAAGGCGGCUCACUGGCCCGUUACCGACGCUCAGGCGCGACAGUGUGGGGAGCAAACAGG